rnacentral:rRNA from 1 species
CCUACGUGCUGCAGCAGUGAGGAAUAUUGGUCAAUGGCCGAGAGUCUGAACCAGCCAAGCCGCGUGCGGGAAGACGGCUCUAUGGGUUGUAAACUGCUUUUGUACGAGAGUAAACGCAGCUACGCGUGGCUCAUUGAGAGUAUCCUACGAAUAAGCAUCGGCUAACUCCGUGCCAGCAGCCGCGGUAAUACGGAGGAUUCCAGCGUUAUCCGGAUUUAUUGGGUUUAAAGGGUGCGUAGGCGGACUUUCAAGUCAGCGGUAAAAUCGCGGGGCUCAACCCCGUCGUGCCGUUGAAACUGCAUCCCUUGAGAGGGCGAGAGGUAUGCGGAAUGCGUGGUGUAGCGGUGAAAUGUAUAGAUAUCGCGCAGAACUCCGAUUGCGAAGGCAGCAUACCGGCGCGGAACUGACGCUCAUGCACGAAAGCGUGGGUAUCGAACAGGAUUAGAUACCCCGGUAGUC